AUUGAACGCUGGCGGCAUGCCUUACACAUGCAAGUCGAACGGGGGUAGCAAUACCCUAGUGGCGAACGGGUGAGUAAAGCAUCGGAACGUACCCAGUCGUGGGGGAUAACGUAGCGAAAGUUACGCUAAUACCGCAUACGUCCUGAGGGAGAAAGCGGGGGAUCGCAAGACCUCGCGCGAUUGGAGCGGCCGAUGUCGGAUUAGCUAGUUGGUAGGGUAAAAGCCUACCAAGGCGACGAUCCGUAGCUGGUCUGAGAGGACGACCAGCCACACUGGGACUGAGACACGGCCCAGACUCCUACGGGAGGCAGCAGUGGGGAAUUGUGGACAAUGGGGGAAACCCUGAUCCAGCCAUGCCCCGUGAGUGAAGAAGGCCUUCGGGUUGUAAAGCUCUUUCAGACGGAAAGAAAUUGCGCAGGUAAAUAAUCUGUGUAGAUGACGGUACCGUAAGAAGAAGCACCGGCUAACUACGUGCCAGCAGCCGCCGUAACAC
rnacentral:rRNA from 1 species